rnacentral:tRNA from 1 species
CGGACGUAGUUCAGCUGGUAGAACACAACCUUGCCAAGGUUGGGGUCGCGGGUUCGAGUCCCGUCGUCCG